rnacentral:misc_RNA from 1 species
GGAAGGAUCAUUAACACUAAUCCAAUCAUUUAAACCGAGCCUUAAGUUGUUGCAUCAGUGCAAGCUAGCGAAAGCGGGCAUGUUACUCUUGCAGCAUCUAUCAUAACUAAUCUAAAGGAGCAUAACUAAGCUCUUACACUAAAACCAAAUUCUCAACGAUGGAUAUCUUGGUUCCCAUAACGAUGAAGAACGCAGCGAAGUGCGAUAAGCAGUGCGAAUUGCAGAACCGUGAGUCAUCAGAUUUUUGAACGCAACUGGCGCCGGUUGGCUCUCCAGCCGGCAUGCUUGUUUCAGUGUCUUGUUUUCUCUUCACCCAAAUCUUAAUGCUUGAGAUACCCUUCUCUUGCUAAGUACGAAAGCACUCUGUUCCCUGCAAGCAGCCUAGAUUCGUCUAGGGUUGCACUCAAUGCAGCAGUCACAAUUCAUUGUGAACUCAUUGAGAGUAGAGGCAGCGCAGCUAGUCUGCAAGUGCUUAGAGAAUCAAACUUUACUUGUAUCUGAAAUCAAGCAGGAUCACCCGCUGAACUUAAGCAUAUCACUAAGCGGAGGAAAAGAAAUUAACUAAGAUUGCCCCAGUAACGGCGAGUGAAGCGGCAAAAGCCCAAAUUGGAAAUCUUCACGCUGCGCGUGACGAAUUGUAAUCUACAGGUGGGACACUCAACUAGUGGUGACGCAGAAGUGCUCUAGAAUGGGCCGCCAGAGAGGGUGACAGCCCCGUAUGUGGUGUCACCGCUAAACGAGUGCCUUUCGAAGAGUCGGGUUGUUUUGAAUUGCAGCCCUAAGUGGGGGAUAGACUUCCUCUAAGGCUAAAUAUAUAUGGGAAACCGAUAGCGAACAAGUACUGUGAAGGAAAGAUGAAAAGAACUUUGGAAAGAGAGUCAAAAGACUUGAAAUCGUUGAGAAGGAAGCGGUAGAAAUUUAUUCUUCGGCUGAGGACGAUGUCUGUUGCCUAACCAUUAGGUUGAUGCAGCACUUAAUAAGGCUGUUUGGCUUACCUGGGGAAGCGAUGGGUGGGUCCUCUGUCGUGAGGCAAAAUGAGGUUCCACUCCCACAAAAGCUUGGCAAACCUGGGCUGGUUCGCUAGUCAGUUUGCCUUUGCUGGUGGGCGUGUUGCCUGAGGAAGCUUUGUGCGAUUUUGCCAAAAUGGUUUUUACCGACCCGUCUUGAAACACGGACCAAGGAGUCUAACAAAUAUGCGAGUGUGCUGGUGGAAAAACCAACACGCACAACGAAAGUGAUUGAUGCCAAGCUUACGCAGCAGCAUCGACCGACCAUGAUCCUCUGGUGAAAGGUUUGAGUAUGAGCAUAUCUGUUAGGACCCGAAAGAUGGUGAACUAUGCCUGGGUAGGGUGAAGCCAGGGGAAACUCUGGUGGAGGCUCGUAGCGGUUCUGACGUGCAAAUCGAUCGUCAAACCUGGGUAUAGGGGCGAAAGACUAAUCGAACCAUCUAGUAGCUGGUUCCCUC